rnacentral:rRNA from 1 species
AGUGGCGAACGGGUGAGUAAUACAUCGGAACGUGCCUAUUAGUGGGGGAUAACUACUCGAAAGAGUAGCUAAUACCGCAUGAGAUCUACGGAUGAAAGCAGGGGACCUUCGGGCCUUGUGCUACUAGAGCGGCUGAUGGCAGAUUAGGUAGUUGGUGGGGUAAAGGCUUACCAAGCCUGCGAUCUGUAGCUGGUCUGAGAGGACGACCAGCCACACUGGGACUGAGACACGGCCCAGACUCCUACGGGAGGCAGCAGUGGGGAAUUUUGGACAAUGGGCGAAAGCCUGAUCCAGCAAUGCCGCGUGCAGGAUGAAGGCCCUCGGGUUGUAAACUGCUUUUGUACGGAACGAAAAGCCUGGGGCUAAUAUCCCCGGGUCAUGACGGUACCGUAAGAAUAAGCACCGGCUAACUACUUGCCAGCAGCCGCGGUAAUACGUAGGGUGCAAGCGUUAAUCGGAAUUACUGGGCGUAAAGCGUGCGCAGGCGGUUUUGUAAGACAGUGGUGAAAUCCCCGGGCUCAACCUGGGAACUGCCAUUGUGACUGCAAGGCUAGAGUGCGGCAGAGGGGGAUGGAAUUCCUCGUGUAGCAGUGAAAUGCGUAGAUAUGCGGAGGAACACCGAUGGCGAAGGCAAUCCCCUGGGCCUGCACUGACGCUCAUGCACGAAAGCGUGGGGAGCAAACAGGAUUAUAUACCCUGGUAGUCCACGCCCUAAACGAUGUCAACUGGU